rfam:Erysipelotrichaceae bacterium NYT-BL-A4 NODE_32_length_22588_cov_193.929_ID_63, whole genome shotgun sequence.
UGAAGACGACAAGGUGGAUAGGCCGGGAAUGGAAGGGCAGCGAUGUCCGGAGUGGACCGGUACUAAUAGGCCGAGGACUUGAUCAG